CACAGACACAGCAAUUCAGCUCAGUCAUCUGUGCUCCUGCUCCUUAACUGACAGUGACGGAGGCAUCCUGGACCAAAAGAACAACAGCGCAGCGUGACAGAGGGAAAUCAGAAGACUGUCAACAACACACGGGGAGAAAGUAGCCUCGACACGGCCCUGUUUGACUACACGUCACGGCUGUUUGACUCAGACACUCAGACAGAGAUGGAUAUGGUAAUGUUUGUUGAGUCAGACUCUCAACUUCUCAGUCUUUCUUCUGGAUCAGGCUGAUUUGGGGUGGAGUGACAAGGCUUCAAAGGCAGCCGGGAGCUCACCAAGGCUCAUUUGGGCUCCCCUACGCCAGGCCACAGUCCUGUAGACAUGCCAGGGUUUUUAUAACCCCGUUCGGAGCUACAUAUCUGCGUAAUAAGAUGUGCGAGAGAAGAAGACCGGCUCUCCUGUUGAAAUCCGGCUACUGUAGGAGAGGGGUCAGCGUCCCAUCCUCCUUGGGAACUGCAUCCGAGCUUUAAUCCAACUCUACU
ensembl:lncRNA